GGGGGCGUUUAUGGAUUCGACGGGGAUAGUACGAGCAUGGGUUGCGGGUAGCAGGGAGUCGUCUGCUUCAUCAACGCUAAAGCCUAUUAAAUGGCAAACAACAACAAACUUACGCUUUCGCAGCUUAAUAACCUGUGAGCGUGCUCCUACCUAGCAUCGCCCAUGUGACUAGACUAGGGGCUAACAAGUAGUGGGAUACGCCGUUCGGUCUCCGCCUGGGGUCGACGGAAGAAGAUAAUCAGGCUGACCCAACGCGUAGUCGGUUACGGGACGACGCUCGGGUGACAUCAAUACUGUGACUACACCCGUAGAAGCCUGUGUGGCGUUGUCUUCGGACAGGGGUUCAAAUCCCCUCGCCUCCACCA
rfam:Paenibacillus sp. JDR-2, complete genome.